rnacentral:rRNA from 1 species
GUCGAGCGCGCAUAGUAAUAUGUCAGCGGCAGACGGGUGAGUAACGCGUGGGAACGUACCUUUUGGUUCGGAACAACACAGGGAAACUUGUGCUAAUACCGGAUAAGCCCUUACGGGGAAAGAUUUAUCGCCGAAAGAUCGGCCCGCGUCUGAUUAGCUAGUUGGUGAGGUAAUGGCUCACCAAGGCGACGAUCAGUAGCUGGUCUGAGAGGAUGAUCAGCCACAUUGGGACUGAGACACGGCCCAAACUCCUACGGGAGGCAGCAGUGGGGAAUAUUGGACAAUGGGCGCAAGCCUGAUCCAGCCAUGCCGCGUGAGUGAUGAAGGCCCUAGGGUUGUAAAGCUCUUUUGUGCGGGAAGAUAAUGACGGUACCGCAAGAAUAAGCCCCGGCUAACUUCGUGCCAGCAGCCGCGGUAAUACGAAGGGGGCUAGCGUUGCUCGGAAUCACUGGGCGUAAAGGGUGCGUAGGCGGGUCUUUAAGUCAGGGGUGAAAUCCUGGAGCUCAACUCCAGAACUGCCCUUGAUACUGAGGAUCUUGAGUUCGGGAGAGGUGAGUGGAACUGCGAGUGUANAGGUGAAAUUCGUAGAUAUUCGCAAGAACACCAGUGGCGAAGGCGGCUCACUGGCCCGAUACUGACGCUGAGGCACGAAAGCGUGGGGAGCAAACAGGA